rnacentral:rRNA from 1 species
CGAGCCUACGGGGGGCAGCAGUGAGGAAUAUUGGUCAAUGGGCGGGAGCCUGAACCAGCCAAGUCGCGUGAGGGAAGACGGUCCUAUGGAUUGUAAACCUCUUUAGGCGGGGAGCAAUGCCGGGCACGCGUGCCCGGAGGGAGAGUACCCGCAGAAUAAGCAUCGGCUAACUCCGUGCCAGCAGCCGCGGUAAUACGGAGGAUGCGAGCAUUAUCCGGAUUUAUUGGGUUUAAAGGGUGCGUAGGCGGAUUUUUAAGUAAGAGGUAAAAUGUAUGGGCUCAACACGGGCGG